AGUGAACGCUGGCGGUAGGCCUAACACAUGCAAGUCGAACGGCAGCACAGUAAGAGCUUGCUCUUACGGGUGGCGAGUGGCGGACGGGUGAGGAAUACAUCGGAAUCUACUUUUUCGUGGGGGAUAACGUAGGGAAACUUACGCUAAUACCGCAUACGACCUACGGGUGAAAGCAGGGGAUCUUCGGACCUUGCGCGAUUGAAUGAGCCGAUGUCGGAUUAGCUAGUUGGCGGGGUAAAGGCCCACCAAGGCGACGAUCCGUAGCUGGUCUGAGAGGAUGAUCAGCCACACUGGAACUGAGACACGGUCCAGACUCCUACGGGAGGCAGCAGUGGGGAAUAUUGGACAAUGGGCGCAAGCCUGAUCCAGCCAUACAGCGUGGGUGAAGAAGGCCUUCGGGUUGUAAAGCCCUUUUGUUGGGAAAGAAAAGCAGCAGGUUAAUACCCCGCUGUUCUGACGGUACCCAAAGAAUAAGCACCGGCUAACUUCGUG
rnacentral:rRNA from 1 species